AAGGGAUAGGCUUGUUGCCCGGGACGCCUUGCUCCCCCUCCCUGCAGCCUCUCCAGGUGGCCAGUUAGGACUUCCUCACAUCCCGGUGGUGUCAGGGUUUUCAGAAUUCUUACAUGAUGGUUGGCUUCCAAAAGAAUGAAAGCAGAAGUUAGCAUUCCUCUUACAAGGAGUUAAAGUUCCUCGUAAUUUUCGCUUGUUGGAAGAACUUGAAGAAGGACAAAAAGGAGUAGGCGACGGUACAGUUAGCUGGGGCCUUGAAGAUGAUGAAGAUAUGACACUUACAAGGUGGACAGGCAUGAUUAUUGGGCCACCAAGGACAAAUUAUGAAAACAGAAUAUAUAGCCUGAAAGUAGAAUGUGGACCUAAAUACCCAGAAGCUCCUCCGUCAGUUAGAUUUGUAACAAAAAUUAAUAUGAACGGAAUAAAUAACUCGAGUGGGAUGGUGGAUGCCCGGAGCAUACCAGUGUUAGCAAAAUGGCAAAAUUCAUAUAGCAUUAAAGUUGUACUUCAAGAGCUAAGACGUCUAAUGAUGUCCAAAGAAAAUAUGAAGCUUCCACAGCCACCAGAAGGACAAACAUACAACAAUUAAUUUUAGUGGAUCUCAAACUUGUCUUAAAUCAACAACCUUCUACUCAUGUUAAUGUCUUGAUUAAAUAUCACAAUGCAAAAUACACAUUAAGUAAAAGAAUUCCAGCUGGUAAACAUGACCUGGACAUUUGUAAGAAUAUAUUUAAUAUAUGUACACCCAUUAUGUUUUCAGGUAACAGGAGGAAAAAUGCAGCACAAUUUUUUUUCUCUUGAAAGGCACUGUCAUUUAAACAUAAACCUGGAGUACUCGAAAUAGAAUUCAGGUUUACAAGAUGAAAGCGUGUGGAGAAGUGUCAGAUGGCAGUGGAAGCAUGUGUGUUUCUAAAAAGUAAAAAUCUCAAGAAAACAGAAAUGGCAUGCUUUACCCAUCUUGCUUAGUGAAAGAGAGCUGCAGUUGAAAUUGUUUAAAAAGUAGCAGGUACAACGAAUAUUGUCACAGAUGUGUUAAUUUUUGAAGCAAUGUGGGUGCUGACUACUAGUAGUAUCAAAAAUAUGUUCAGGAUUGUUUUGAUACCUGUAUUUAUAAUAAAAAAUGUUGGGGGGAGUUGAUGAAUUCCUGUUAAAAGCUGUUCUUGUGUGUUACAUGUAACAGACAUGGUAAAUAUUUGUUUACAGUCUUUGUUUAACAAACCAUGCAUUUAAGUUUAAGUGAAGUCAACAAAAAGGAAAUAGGUGUAUGGAUAUGUGAUUUUGAGAUUAAAGUUAGUCUUAAAAUGUAAAUAAAAUGUGGAACGUGUCCUCAGAGACUGUGCCAUUUCUAUUAUGUUGAUGUAUAUGUACAGUACCUUGCCAGGGAAGCAAAAAUUGGAAUUAUUGUAGCUUUUCAUGUAUACACACUUUUAUUUACCCUAUUUUGUGUACUUCUUGUGAAUUAUA
rnacentral:lncRNA from 1 species